UACAGAGGUCUCAAGCGUUGUUCGGAUUCAUUGGGCGUAAAGGGUGCGUAGGCGGCGCGGUAAGUCGGGUGUGAAAUCUCGGGGCUUAACUCCGAAACUGCAUUCGAUACUGCCGUGCUUGAGGACUGGAGAGGAGACUGGAAUUUACGGUGUAGCGGUGAAAUGCGUAGAUAUCGUAAGGAAGACCAGUGGCGAAGGCGGGUCUCUGGACAGUUCCUGAUGCUGAGGCACGAAGGCCAGGGGAGCAAACGGG
rnacentral:rRNA from 1 species